ACACCUCUGCCCACUGACAGGUCUCUAUGAGUUCACUUGCUCAACUCCUAGCCUGUUCUUAUUCCAUCCUUUGCCCUGUCUGCUCCAAGGACAUGCUCCCUAAGAUGUGCUUCUACCUGCCUGCCUGAGGCUAAGGAAGUCCAUAUCAAUGGAGUAGUUGUUCUUGUGCCAACUCUUUAAAUAUGGCCAUAAUGAGGUGUAAGAGCCCAGUUUUCAGAGCGAGGACACGAAGCAGGGCUGACACCUCCAGCCAAUAGGGUCUGAAACAAUAGGACAUUGAGACCCUUGCAGCAAAUCAGUGAAUUUGUUAACAAGUUCUAAUCCAGAGCUAUGCUUCCCCCACAACUAAUGGUCUGCGUGUGUUGGUAAUCGUGAGGAUUAAUGAUGAGGGAAUGGCAGUCAAGAACCUGGCGUUUCUUUAAGAAAGGUGCUGCUUACCUUGGACUAGAAUCCUAAAAAUAAAUAGAGUAAAUACA